rnacentral:rRNA from 1 species
GGUUAAGCGAACAAGCGUACACGGUGGAUGCCCUGGCAGUCAGAGGCGAUGAAGGACGUGCUAAUCUGCGAAAAGCGCCGGUAAGGUGAUAUGAACCGUUAUAACCGGCGAUGUCCGAAUGGGGAAACCCGGUGCACUUCGGUGCAUCAUCGUUAGCUGAAUACAUAGGCUAACGAGGCGAACCGGGGGAACUGAAACAUCUAAGUACCCCGAGGAAAAGAAAUCAACCGAGAUUCCCCCAGUAGCGGCGAGCGAACGGGGAACAGCCCAGAGCCUGAAUCAGCUUGUGUGUCAGUGGAACGGUCUGGAAAGGCCGGCGAUACAGGGUGACAGCCCCGUACACGAAGGCACACAGGCUGUGAGCUCGAUGAGUAGGGCGGGACACGUGAUAUCCUGUCUGAAGAUGGGGGGACCAUCCUCCAAGGCUAAAUACUCCUGACUGACCGAUAGUGAACCAGUACCGUGAGGGAAAGGCGAAAAGAACCCCGGCGAGGGGAGUGAAACAGAACCUGAAACCGUGUACGUACAAGCAGUGGGAGCCUUCGUAAGAGGGUGACUGCGUACCUUUUGUAUAAUGGGUCAGCGACUUAUAUUCUGUAGCAAGGUUAACCGUAUAGGGGAGCCGAAGGGAAACCGAGUCUUAAUCGGGCGUUAAGUUGCAGGGUAUAGACCCGAAACCCGGUGAUCUAGCCAUGGGCAGGUUGAAGGUUGGGUAACACUAACUGGAGGACCGAACCGACUAAUGUUGAAAAAUUAGCGGAUGACCUGUGGCUGGGGGUGAAAGGCCAAUCAAACCGGGAGAUAGCUGGUUCUCCCCGAAAGCUAUUUAGGUAGCGCCUCGUGAACUCAUCUCCGG